GAUGAAGAACGUAGCGAAAUGCGAUAAGUAAUGUGAAUUGCAGAAUUCAGUGAAUCAUCGAAUCUUUGAACGCGCAUUGCGGCCGCCAGCAUUCUGGCGGGCAUGCCUGUUCGAGCGUCAUUUCAACCCCUCGGGCCCUGGUGCCCGGCGUCGGGGCGCUUCCCACCCCCGGGAACCCCCCAGAAGCAGUGGCGGACCCGCCGCGGCUCCGAGCGCAGUAGUUAAUAUUUCUCGCUCAGGAGGCCCGCGGGGGCGACUUCGGCCGUUAAACCGGACCCUCGCGUCCACGUACACACAAAGGUUGACCUCGGAUCAGGUAGGAAUACCCGCUGAACUUAAGCAUAUCAAUAAGCGGAGGA
rnacentral:misc_RNA from 1 species